GUGGCCACUACGAGUGCUUGCUCCCUAUGCGGAGGGCAGGAUAGCUGGCGGCAUUCUUUGCUGGAGUGUAAUGUGUCUAGGUGUGUGUGGGCACUUUCAGAAGCCGAGAUGGUCGAGCACAUGUGGGCAACCUCAGAACCUGACGCACGGCUGUGGCUCUUUGCCAUGAAUGACUCUCUUCCACCGGAGCAAUUUCAGUUGAUGAUUGUUACUUUAUGGGCGAUUUGGAGUGCAAGACGGAAGGAGGAAGCACAUGGGAUAGCAGUACCACGACCCCGUACGUGGAUUCCACCACCAACAGAUUACUACAAACUCAAUGUGGACGCGGCCGUGUCACGCCCAGGUAUGUUUGGCGCAGUUGGUGUGGUUUGCGGGGAUGAGAGAGGUUUGUUCAUGGGAGCGUCAGCUCUCGUUUUCAGAGGACUGCACAACCCCCAAGUGCUAGAAGCACUAGCUGUUCGGGAGGCAUUAGCACUUUCAGAAGAUCUCUAUAUCAACCAUUUACUUGUUGCCUCCGAUUGCAAGGUGGUGGUAGAUGCAAUUAGACAGGGAAGCUCAGCCGAAUUUGGAGCCAUUGUCGAGGAAAUCAAGACUAGAGCAACUACCUUUAUUUCAUGUUCAUUUACUCAUGAGUAUAGGACCUCCAAUACGGAGGCCCAUAAUCUCGCAAAGCAUGCGUUAUCUUUAGGGUUUGGCCGACACACUUGGCUAGGACAACCCGACGAUCUUCUUUUUGUACCUAUGAACAUUAUGAUUCAGUAA
rnacentral:rRNA from 1 species